UCAUUUUGGAGACGGGGAGAUGGUUUGGGAUCUGAGUUCAGAUUCAUGACGUCCAUAUUAAAAAACAGACACAUUGAUGGGCACCUGUAAUGCCAUGCUAGAGGGAGGGAUGGACAGAGGCAGGAAGACCUCUGGGGCUUGCUGGUCAGCCAGUGUAGCCCAUUUCUGAGCUCCUGGUUUAAAGAGAACCCACUUCAAAAGUCAAGGUGGACCAUCUGCCGAGGAAGUUGUCUUUGUGUCAACUUCAAGUCUCUCCAGGCUCACACGUGCACACAUGCACACUGCUACACCCACACACUCAUGACCAUUUGUACGCGCCUCUUCGUGCUUCCCAGCUGGUCCCUGUUUCAGGCAGAUGCAGAGUGCUGGCCAGUUAAGGAAGGGAAGGCUGUAUUGGUGCUCUCUGGAGCAACAGAACUGAUAAGAUGAAUAUAUCUAAAUGUAUUAGAGAAUUUAUUAAACCAAUGUAAAUUAGAAUAGUGCCAAAUAUUGUCUCACUCCUGAAGGACUGAGCACCUAGCAUUGCCAGGUCCUUGCGGCUGGUGCCUCACAUUAGGAGUAGAGACAUGGUGGCUGUCUCGCAUAGAAAGGCCAACAACCUGGCAGUAGAAAGGCCAACAACCUGGCAGUUCCUAGAUCUUUGAGGCUGGGUGUCUCAGCAGUCUUAACCUGGAGCUGAAAACCAGGAAGGUUUUAGAAGUCAGUAUUAGAAGCCCAGAAUUCCUGGUUCUGAUAGCAGGAGUUGGUAACAGCAAAAGGCCAAACCACAAGAGGGAGCCAAAGGCAACUAAUUUUCCUUCUGGUGCCCCAGUCAGGGUGAGCCAUCUGCAUCAGUUAAGGCAAGCAAGGACAAUUCUUCACUUACAGGUUGCUACUCAGGUAAGCCCCUAUAAAUACCGAAAACAAGGGACAUAAUUCCAACAUAUGAUGAUAUCAAAAAGACAUUCUUAUUCCAAAAGAGACUAAACAAGCCUAUAGAAAGUAAGCAACUGUACCAAAGCAAAACCAAAGUCAGGAGAGAAAAUCCAAACCUUGCAGCUCUGAUGGAGGAAGGUCAUUGAGCAAUAAAGAAACUGCUUGGCUGGCCCUGAUAGGUUAAAGCAUAGGUGGGAGGAGUAAACAGAAUAGAAUUCUGGGAGGAAGAGGAAGUGAGGUCAGACUCUGCUCUGCUCCCGGAGAGACCCGACAGCUCUGCUCUCUGGAGCAGAGACACCAUGCUCAGCUCUCCCGGGUAGACUUGACAGCUCUGCUCUCUGGAGCAGAGACGCCAGGCUCCACUCUCCCAGGCAGCUCCGACCCAGGAUGGAUGUAGGCUAGAAUCUUCCCGAUACAAAGAAUCAGACUACAAGGACAAAAGGGACAGCCAGCUGUUAAAUCCUUCAAUGCAUCAGGAUUGGGGUCAUCAGAUAACAGUUACCCCUCCCAAUCAGUGUGUAGAGGACAGAAGAGAGAGUAUAGCAUCCUCAUAAAUUGUGAACUCACAGGAGAGCGAGCUGAGCAGAGGAUGACGGGUUGACAGAAUAAAAGGGGAAGAGAAGGAAUGAAGAGCAGCCCAAAGGAGGAGAUGGAUGCUGGAGCAGUGCCUCUUCUGAGAGCAGACCCAGAACCUCCAGCCUCAGAAAGAGGCCUAGGACAGAAGGCAGCUCUGUGCACCUAGAUCCGUUACACCUGAACCGCCCCCGCCCUCACUGAGGCAUCCAUUUCUGAUCUGUGCCUGUGUCUCCUCUGGAGUUUCAGUGAACAUUUAUUCACUCAGUACCUGCCUCACUACCAAAUUCGUUCCUUAACUCUUGCAGUCUGGGAUUGUUAUCCACAAUUAAAAGAGAACUUCCACCCACUUCCCACAGCUAAUGGGACAACACAGACCCACAGUCUCCUAGGCUGAAACCCUUCUUCCCUAACCUACACAGUGCUACACCACUGCCAACCUGCUGGUCCCUCUCCUGCACUGGACACCUCUUGGUUCGUGUUCAUCAUGGGCCACAAGCUGGGGCUGCUCUCCUGAGCACAGAAAAGAGAUUAUCUGAGUCCCAGGAAUUUCCUUGCCUGGAAGCUGCUGCCAGUGCUGUGGACAUCAUAGAUGUGCCAGAAAGACUGCAGGGAAGGGCAUUUGUACAGGAAAUAGCAGAGCUAUGCUGGUCUCUGGAACUCCUGGGAACAAAACGACGGGAAAUUUUAAAUAUGCGUGUUCUAUUCCUUAUAGAUUCCCGUCAGCCACGGGAAAAUGACCUGCCAGCAGCAGCCACACAAAGUCCCCCUCCACCCCCUCCCCUUGUCCUGGAGCCCUGUCCUCCACCCCUGGCCAACCGAAGCGUGUCUCUCUGCCGCAUCUCCCAUGUCAAAAGGAAUGCAGAAGUAGGACCUCUGAAAUCACCCUCCUCUUCCUGGACGUGUGGUGGCUGAAUUCUUCUCUCAUCACAGAUAUCUCAGAAGAGACGUCUUCUCCCUAACUAAACCCAGAACCUCCACAAUAACCAGCCAGGGGCUCCCAUGUGCCCCACAGACAAUACAUUUCUUCAAGAUGGACAGGCUUGUACUUCUGUAGGAACCCCCACUGCCAUUCGUGAGACCAUGACCCAUUCCUCCGUGGCUGUAUCCUUUACCUACAAUGGCACUGGUCCCUAACAACACCUACCACAGGAAGCUGGGAGUCCUGUGGAAAGAAAAACAACAAAACCUUACUACAUUUUCUUCAGAUUUCAUACAGAAAAAAAGGGGGGGGCUCUCCUAAAUGAGUUCCCAGUUCAUUGGAGAAGUCAUCCCUGCCAUGUGCAACAGAGGAGCCAGUGAAGCUCCAACUUCCCGUCAGCCUCCCUCCUCCCUCCUGGAUUCUUCCCAGGCCCUCUCUGUGCCUACAGUCCAAUCCCCAACCAUUGGACGCAUGGCUGGUUUCUGGUCCUUCCGUCAAAGGCACUCUCCUCGAGGAGUCUCAACUAUUCUUCUGGUGUCAUCUACACUAACACAUGCCCAGGGGUGGGGUGGACAGCUGGGAACUAGCAAUGGCGCAGGAAAGGGACUGAUGGCUUAGCCAAGAAAGCAGCAUCCAGAAGAAUGAAGAGGAACCCUGGGGAGCCCUUCAUUCUCCAAGUUCCAUUGAACAGAUCCCACAAAAUACUCUCCUGUGCCUCAUUCCCAGGAGAAAGGUAGACGUAAGGAGAGGACGGCGGCCUGUGAUGAAGAUACUGAGCAGGAUGGAAACAUGAGGGUCAGGACACCGAGUAACACAGAAAAAUCAAUAUUCCCUUUGAAUCGUAUUCAUUGUGCAAUUUAUCAGCUACCUACCAAACGAAAAUAAAGAUUCUAAAUAGCAUAUGAUCUUUGCUACAUACAGCUAUAAGA